UUUAAAGAAAGCGUAACAGCUCACUGGUCUAAAUAAGGGUUCCUGCGGCGAAAAUGUAACGGGGCUAAAGAUAUGCACCGAAGCUUAGGGUUCAGAAUUUAUUCUGAGCGGUAGCGGAGCGUUCCGUAGGCGAGUGAAGCGGGAGGGUAACCGACCGUGGACGUAUCGGAAGUGCGAAUGCUGACAUGAGUAGCGACAAACAGGGUGAGAUACCCUGUCGCCGAAAGACCAAGGGUUCCUACGCAAUGCUAAUCAGCGUAGGGUGAGCCGGCCCCUAAGACGAGCCCGAAGGGGGUAGUCGAUGGGAACCACGUUAAUAUUCGUGGGCCUGGAGAUGUGUGACGGAUCGCGGAAGUUGUGAGUCCUUAUUGGAUUGGACUUGCAGCCAAGUGGUUCCAGGAAAUAGCCUCUCCAUAUAGACCGUACCCGAAACCGACACAGGUGGUCAGGUAGAGUAUACCAAGGCGCUUGAGAGAAGUAUCCUGAAGGAACUCGGCAAAUUGCCUCCGUACCUUCGGAAGAAGGAGGCCCCAUCUUAAGGCAACUUUUGGUGGGGGGCACAGGCCAGGGGGUAGCGACUGUUUAUCAAAAACACAGGGCUCUGCGAAGU
rnacentral:rRNA from 14 species